UACGUAGGGUGCGAGCGUUGUCCGGAAUUACUGGGCGUAAAGAGCUCGUAGGUGGUUUGUCGCGUUGUUCGUGAAAACUCACGGCUUAACUGUGAGCGUGCGGGCGAUACGGGCAGACUGGAGUACUGCAGGGGAGACUGGAAUUCCUGGUGUAGCGGUGGAAUGCGCAGAUAUCAGGAGGAACACCGGCGGCGAAGGCGGGUCUCUGGGCAGUAACUGACGCUGAGGAGCGAAAGCGUGGGGAGCGAACAGG
rnacentral:rRNA from 1 species